rnacentral:rRNA from 1 species
CUCCUGAUUGAUAAACAUUUGAGUGAGUGGCGGACGGGUGAGUAACACGUGGGUAACCUGCCCUAAAGGUGGGGGAUAACAUUUGGAAACAGAUGCUAAUACCGCAUAAAACCUAACACCGCAUGGUGUAGGGUUGAAAGAUGGUUUCGGCUAUCACUUUAGGAUGGACCCGCGGUGCAUUAGUUAGUUGGUGAAGGUAAAGGCUCACCAAGACCGUGAUGCAUAGCCCGACCUGAGGAGGGUAAUCGGCCACACGUGGGACUGAGACACCGGCCCAGACUCC